UACGUAGGGGGCAAGCGUUGUCCGGAAUUAUUGGGCGUAAAGAGCGCGUAGGCGGUCCGAUAAGUCGGCUGUGAAAGUCCAGGGCUCAACCCUGGAAAGCCGGCCGAUACUGUCGGACUAGAGUCCGGAAGAGGCGAGUGGAAUUCCCGGUGUAGCGGUGAAAUGCGCAGAUAUCGGGAGGAACACCAAUGGCGAAGGCAGCUCGCUGGGACGGUACUGACGCUAAGGCGCGAAAGCGUGGGGAGCGAACAGG
rnacentral:rRNA from 1 species